rnacentral:rRNA from 1 species
UACGUAGGGGGCUAGCGUUGUCCGGAUUUAUUGGGCGUAAAGAGCGUGUAGGCGGCCAUGUAGGUCCGGUGUGAAAACUCGAGGCUUAACCUCGAGAUGUCAUCGGAAACCAUUUGGCUAGAGUCCGGAAGAGGAGAGUGGAAUUCCUGGUGUAGCGGUGAAAUGCGCAGAUAUCAGGAGGAACACCGGUGGCGAAGGCGGGUCUCUGGGCCGUAACUGACGCUGAGGAGCGAAAGCGUGGGGAGCGAACAGG